GUUUGAAUGAAUUGGAAGGGAAGGAGAGAGAAUGCCAAAAAUACGCAUUUAUCAAUAUUUUUCAAUGGCGGUGGUCAACCAUAAUUCCAUUUUGGUGGAAUUAUGGAAUGUGGCUACCGUUAUCAAUUGCGUGUGUGGAGUAAUUUUUCAUGUUGGACAACAAUAAGAUUAAAAUUCAAAAGGACCUUAAACUUCCAACAGGCCUUUGCUUCCUUUAAGGAAUCGUAAGAUUAUCCAUCCAACCUUUGGGAAAACGGAAAUGAAAGACCUGGACCUUAAUGAUGACUCAGGUUCUUGGAAUUCAAGUGCCCUUGAGAAGGACGAACCGAAGGGACUAAAACACAACUGAGAUGCCAACAUCGGUGAAAUCCAUGGGAAUUGGCAACUAUUUAUUACAACAACAAGAUCAUGAGAGGCAAAUUGAGAUGGUGAAGCAGAAAAUCCGAUUUUUUUUAUCACGUAGUCGAUGGCCAAGGGCUCCACCUUCUUCAUUAGCCAAAAGAAAUAAAAAGGACCGACAUUUUGGCCAUUAGGGACCGAGAAACAUCGAUUGUUCCUACCACUGCUUAAAGCAGAAGUUCAAAUACUUAAUUACACGGACUCGCAUGUUGCGAUGAUAGGUGACGGAUACGGAAAAAUUCAGGAAUGAACAUUUAAAUUUAUACAUCAAAUAGAUCUAAAUUCUUAUGACGAUUUUUUGCAAAAAACAAAAAAAUAUAUUGAAACUUACAUACCUGAGACGAAUCCUCUACAACCAACGCUAAAAUACGAAUUAUUUCAAACUAUAGAUUUAUUAGAGACACUUAAGAACUACGCACCAAAAAGAAAAUCUAGAUCAAUUAAUACAUUAGGAAAAAUUUGGAAAAUUAUUGCCGGAUCCCCCGACCAUGAUGACGCAGAAUAUAUUUACAAAACACUAGAUGAGCUAACAGAUAAUAAUAAUAAACAAGUAAUAAUUAACACUGACUUCAGUAAUCAAUUAAAUAAUAUCACCAAACUUAUUAACACAUUUUCUAAUUCCAUAAGAAAAGAUAAUUUUAUUUUAAAUGAAAAUAUUGAAAUAUUAUCAAAUAAAAUUAGAUUAGCUAAAGAAGGAAUCAUAAACGUUAAACAUGCCAUACAAUGGGCAAAAUAUAAUAUAAUAAACUCGUAUUUGUUAAACAAAAAAGAAAUGAAUUUUGUAAUUAACCAAUUAAAAAAAGAAAACAUGCCUUUUAACAAUAUUGAAGAAGCUUUAGAAUUAUCGAACAUAAAUGUUCUAAGUAAUAACACAAAUAUUUUAUACAUAUAUCAUUAAAAUCCCUAUUACAAGUGAAAUAUUAUAUAAAAAACUUAUUGUAAAACCAAUUAUAAAGAAUAAUACUAUAAUAAAUUUGAAUUUUACAGAAAUAUUUUUGAAUGAAAAUGAAACUUAUGCAAUAAAAGAAAAUUGUAAAAUUUAUAACAAAAUUGAAAUUUGUAAAAAAAUACAUUUAUUAGAUCUAAGUAAAGAUAAUUGUAUAACAAAUAUUAUAUUUAAUAAGCAAUCCUCAUGCACAAGAAGCAAUGUUCACCAUAUUCCUCGUGUUGAAGAAAUCGCAGACGGGAUAAUACUACUGAAUGAUGUUAAUACAACUAUUUUAACAGAAACAAUAACCUAUAAAUUAUAUGGAACAUUUAUUAUUAAAUUUGACAAUACAACUAUAAAAAUAGAUGACAAAAUAUAUCAGAACUUAGAAAAGAACCUGAGCAUAUUGUCAUUAGAAUCACUCCAAGAGCUACAUUUAAACAACAUAAAAGCGAUACAUAAUAUUAAAAGAGAAGCAUGGGUUAGAAAUAUUGUGAUAUCCCUUACCCUCUUAGGCACCGUCAGCCUUACAAUUUGGACACUGAAGAGAUCACAGAAGAAACCUAUAACAACAUUCAUUUUGCAACCCACCAAAAAUUUACACGUUGAAAACAAGUAAGAAAGUAUAGUCGGGCGAGGCCGACCAUAUGAUACCCUACACCAGUUAUGAAUAUUAAAUGUGAUUUAUUUUUCAUAGUAAAGCAUUUAUUUUCAAUAUUCCCUUGUUCCGAUACAUUUUAGCAA